AAGAAGCCUCACACACUCAGAACUUCCUUAAAAGAAAUGGAGACGGAGGAAAGGCAUCGUAUCACAUAUAUUUGAAAUAACAGGCUUGGCAGACACGCGGCUGCUGGAGCAGGACGUCUGACCCAACUCCAGUGAAUGACACAUGAGGGAGAGGCUGCUGGGAGUGUUCACAGUUUCGACACACCCCUCGCCCCCGAUGUUGCCUGGACGUGAGCUGGGAAGUGCCGUGGCCAUCGGGCCACCUGCCUAACAUCGGCUCUGAGGAUGGGAAGCACCGGGCAUGACAUGGAAACAACCUAAGUGUCCAUGGAGGGAUGAAUGGAUAAAGAAGAUGUGAUAUAUACACACAAUGGAAUAUUACUCAGCCUUAAAAACGAAAGAGAUUCUGUCACAGGCUACAACGUAAAUGAACCUUGAGGACAUGAUGCUCAGUGAAAUAAGCAAGUCACAAAAGACAAAUAAUGUACAAUUCCACUUAUACGAGGUUCCUAGAAUCAAAGUUGUAGAGACAGAAAAUGGAAUAGUGGCUGCCGGGGGUGGGGAAGGGGAGAAAUGGGAAGGUGAACAGGUGCAGAGUUUCCUGGGUUAUAAGAUGAAAAAAUUCUGGAGCUCUGUUGUACCAAAAGGUGCAUGUAGUUAAUACUGCUGAACUGCACACUUAAAAUUUACCAUCUUAACCAUUUCUGUUUUUAGCCACAAUUAAAACUUUAAAAAUUAUCUUUUUAAAUGUCACUUUUUAAAAAUUUUUAUUUAUUUAUUUUUGGCUGCGUUGGGUCUUUGAUACUGCACGUGGGUUUUCUGUAGUUGCAGCGAGUGGGGGCUACUCUUCGUUGCGGUGCACGGGCUUCUCAUUGCAGUGGCUUCUCUUGUUACAGAGCACAGACUCUAGGCGUGUGGGCUCCAGUAGUUGUGGCACGCGGACUCAGUAGUUGUGGCUCACGGGCUCUAGAGCACAGGCUCAGUAGUUGUGGCACACAGGCUUAGUUGCUCCGCGGCAUGUGGGAUCUUCCCGGACCAGGGCUCGAACCCGUGUCCCCUGCGUUGGCAGGCAGAUUCUUAACUACUGCGCCACCAGGGAAG